rnacentral:rRNA from 1 species
UACAGAGGUGGCAAGCGUUGUUCGGAAUUACUGGGCGUAAAGCGCUCGUAGGCGGUCCGUCGCGUCGUGCGUGAAAGACCCCGGCUCAACUGGGGAGGGUCGUGCGAUACGGGCGGACUGGAGGCCAGUAGGGGGAUGCGGAAUUCCGGGUGUAGUGGUGGAAUGCGUAGAGAUCCGGAGGAACACCAGCGGCGAAGGCGGCAUCCUGGACUGGUCCUGACACUCAGGAGCGAAAGCGUGGGGAGCGAACAGG